rnacentral:rRNA from 1 species
ACUCAAAUGAAUAGACGGGGGCCCGCACAAGCGGCGGAGCAUGUUGCUUAAUUCGACGCAACGCGAAGAACCUUACCAAGGUUUGACAUCACUCGUGUGCCUGCAGAGAUGUGGGGUCCUUCGGGGCGGGUGACAGGUGGUGCAUGGCUGUCGUCAGCUCGUGUCGUGAGAUGUUGGGUUAAGUCCCGCAACGAGCGCAACCCUUGUUCCAUGUUGCCAGCGACAUCCUUGUUUGGGUGGUUGGGGACUCAUGGGAGACUGCCGGGGUCAACUCGGAGGAAGGUGGGGAUGACGUCAAGUCAUCAUGCCCCUUAUGUCUUGGGCUGCAAACAUGCUACAAUGGCUGGUACAGAGGGCUGCGAUGCCGUGAGGUGGAGCGAAUCCCUAAAAGCCGGUCUCAGUUCGGAUUGGGGUCUGCAACUCGACCCUAUGAAGUCGGAGUCGCUAGUAAUCGCAGAUCAGCAUUGCUGCGGUGAAUACGUUCCCGGGCCUUGUACACACCGCCCGU